rnacentral:rRNA from 1 species
UACAGAGGGUGCAAGCGUUAAUCGGAAUUACUGGGCGUAAAGCGUGCGUAGUCGGUUAUCUAAGUCGGAUGUGAAAUCCCCGGGCUCAACCUGGGAAUUGCAUUCGAUACUGGAUAGCUAGAGUUCGGCAGAGGGAAGUGGAAUUUCGGGUGUAGCGGUGAAAUGCGCAGAUAUCAGGAAGAACACCCGUGGCGAAGGCGGCUCUCUGGGACGGUACUGACGCUGAGACGCGAAAGCGUGGGGAGCGAACAGG